rnacentral:rRNA from 1 species
UUAAACGGCCGCGGUACCCUAACCGUGCAAAGGUAGCAUAAUCAUUUGUCUAUUAAUUGUAGACCAGUAUGAAAGGCAAAAUGAGGACCUGACUGUCUCUUAUAGUAUAUCAAUUAAACUGAUCUCCUAGUAAAAAAGCUAAGAUACUCCCAUAAGACCAGAAGACCCUGUGAAGCUUAAACUAAAUUAUUAAACCCCAUAAUAACUACUUUCGGUUGGGGCGACCUUGGAAAAAAAAAGAACUUCCAAACAAACGACCAUAAAUCACACUCUCUGAGGCCUACAAGCCUAAACCAUAGACCCAGUCUAACUGACAAACGAACCAAGUUACUCCAGGGAUAACAGCGCCAUCUUCUUCAAGAGCCCAUAUCAAAAAGAAGGUUUACGACCUCGAUGUUGGAUCAGGACAUCCUAAUGGUGCAGCCGCUA